AGGUGUAUGAUCUAUGGAAGCAUAUCCUUACAGACUCAGAAACAAGGACAACAUUUGUACAACAUCUUUCAGACAGUGGAGGCUGGAGGUCAGGAUAUCAACUCUAUCAUCAAACAGAUCUGGAGAGACCCCCAGCUCGGCCAGUUGCUACCUGGGAGAGCCUGGAGAAUUCGGUGAAUAAUCUAAACGCUUCGCACCCUACAAAAUGCCAAGCCAUGGGAAUCAGUCGUUUCUGCUGUCCCCGGGGCACCUUUGGGCCAAGCACUUGACAUCGAACACCUGAAUAACUCCUUGGCCCCUCAUCUACACGUGCACCGGAUCUGGCGAAUGAUGAACAUCGCAGGUUUCCCCGGAUCUUUUGUGAGGCAGAUACAAUUAAAUGAGUUCGGCGAACCUCGUUAAGGCGAAGAGCGAGUGCUUUACCGUUCAGGUGACUGCGAUGCUGGCUCAAGCUUGAGAACCACUGCUUUCUAGUCCAGAGCAUUUUCCGGGGUAUUGGCUGGGAUGCACAACCACGUUGCUAUCUGAUCUCGUCACACUUCUGCCAAGAGGUGAAAUCUAAGAGCCCAGGUUCUUGAUGCCUGACAUCUUCUUCAGGUCACUUACCUGAGAACACUGCGGUCCGUCUUUCUGCGUGAACGUGUGCGGUCCCUGGGCUCUGAGAGAUAGGAGUGCUAAGUGAAGUCGGCCCUUAUGAGCUUCCAAUCACCUGUAAAACAUGGGACUGCCAAAUCAAAGACGGAGAGAACCGAAGACCACGGGGGCUCCGAAUGGUGUGGUUCUGACAGCAUGUGGAAACAGAAUGGAAGCACACACUGCAAAACUCUCCCUGCGCCCCCAUCCUUCCUUGCUUUUUCUAUUCUGUCAUACCCAGCUGCUGCUGCUACAGCCUCCUUUUCCUUCCAGCUCACUGCCCACCCUGGGUUUGCUCCAGUUUUCUCUCUUAUUGCCCCUAACCCCCACCCCCCCACCUCUUGUCCUAUGCCCCUCUACCCCAUGCUGGUUUUGUUUUAGAUUGCAGAAGUCCCGAGGAUAGAUUCAGCAAGGACAGAGACCCCAGAAGACAGGGGAAAAGGAGAGAACAGAGCGAAAUCUGUCCUUGUCAGAUUUCCGUUCAGGAUAAAGACGGAGAACGCCAGAGUGCACUUGACCAUCAGUGCCCCUGUCCCUGAGCGCUGCAAGCCUGGGGCAUGCAGACUGCGCUGUGGGCUGCAGGUGUGGCAGAAGCUCCUGAGGGCCACUGGAAGUGAGCUAAGCCGUGGCAGGUGAGGGGGCUCCGGGUGAGCAGAGGGGAGGGAGGGGCCCUUCCAGCCCAUAACAGGAAGGAGCCAGAGUGUGAGGAGCAUGGUAGCCUGUGCGGGAUGGAGGAUAUGAUGCAGAGUCGUGGGAAGUGAGGCUGGAUGGGUCUCCAGACAGAGGAGGUGACAGAUAAAGUUGGAGUUGGUUCCUGAGCAGAGGAGGAGUGUGCGUAAUAAUGAAUUCUAUCGGUACUGAGAAGGCACCAUGUCCUGCAGGAGUCACGAUUGAAAUGCGGGUGGUGUGAAGCAGGUCAGGUACGAAGCAAUCAGGCCGGGAGGGGCCGUGGUGAGCUAGAGCCCGUGCCCACUCUAACGUGGGGGAUUCCUGGGGAAUCAGUCUCUUAAUGUGAAGUUUCUUCAUUCUUUAAAAGAGACUCGGUUUUUUUUACACUGAGGUAUAAUUGAUACACUGUUACGUUAGUUUCAGGUGUACAACAUGGUGAUUGCAGGAGUCUAUACAUGGUGCUGUGCUCCCCAAAAGUGUAGCUCCUAUCUGUCCCCACACAAUGCUGUUACCCUUCCAUUGAUUGUAUUCCCUGUGCUGUAUCUUCCAUCCCCAUGGCUUACUUAUUCCUUAACUGAAAGCCUGUGCCUCCCACUCCCCAUCACCCAUCUUCCUCACCACCCCCAGCCUCUUAACCU